rnacentral:lncRNA from 1 species
UUUCUCUCCUGUAGUCAAAUACACUUCUAUAAGGAUUCUACUUGCUCUUGUUUCACAUUUUAAUUUUGAAUUAGAACAAUUAGAUGUGAAAACAGCUUUUCUUUAUGGAAAUUUAGACGAAAAGAUCUAUAUGACCCAACCUAGAGGUUUUGAAUAGGAAGGCUAAGAAAACUGUGUUUGCCUUUUGCAGAAGUCUCUCUAUGACUUGAAACAAGCCCCCAGGCAAUGGUACAUCAGGUUUGAUACUUUCAUUAAAUGUUUUGAAUUUAAUAGAAGUGAAUAUGAUCAUUGUUUUUAUUAUAAAGGAAAUGGAGAGCCUAAAUCUUAUUAUCUCUUGUUGUAUGUUGAUGAUAACAACUUGCUGGAUAUGAUUCAACUGAGAUAAACAAUAUUAAACACAAAUUAAAACAAGAAAUUGAAAUGAAAGAUUUAGGCUUUGCCAAGAGAAUCUUAGGAAUGCAAAUUAGGAAAAAUAGAAAUAAUCACAAUCUGUUCCUUACUCAACAAUCCUAUAUUUCAAAAAUCUUAUAUAAAUAUUCUAUGAGUGAAGCCAAAGAAGUCUCUUUACCCUUAGGCAGCUAUUUUAAAUUUUCUACAGAGCAGUGUCCUAAAACUGAAAUAGAAAGAAAUAGAAUGGAAUAGGUGCCUUAUGCAAAUGCAGUCGGAUCUAUUAUGUAUAUCAUGGUCUGGUACACCUGAUCUUGCCUUUGCUAUUAGUGUCUUAAGUAGAUACAUGAGUAAUCCAGGUGAAUAUCAUUGGGAAGCAAUGAAAUGGUUGUUAAGGUAUUUAAAAGGAACAUCACACUUAGGAUUAAUGUUUGGUAAAGGUAAAACAAAGUUAAAACUCAAAGGUUAUGUUGAUUCAGAUUUUGCUGGUAACUGUGACAAUAGAGAAUCAACAUCUGCAUAUGUCUUUACUCUAAAUGAUAGCUGCAUAAGUUGGAAAUCACAGCUGCAAAAAUUGGUUGCCUUGUCAUCAACAGAGGAAGAAUAUAUUGCAGCUACAGAUGCUGUAAAGGAAGGAAUCUGGGUGAAAAGUUUGUUAAAUGAUAACAAUGCUACUAUAUUUUCUGACAGUCAAUCAGCUAUACAUCUUAGUAGAAAUCUAAUCUUUCAUGAUAGAACUAAACAUAUAGAUGUGAAAUUUCAUUUCAUAAGGGAUAUCAUAGAAAAAAAUCAUAAAAAUUGAUAAGAUUUCCACUAAGUGUAAUCUAGUUGAUAUGGGAACAAAGAUACUUCCUUUACAUAAAUUUAGGAAUUGCUUAAAUCUCCUAAAUAUUAUUACUAACUAAAGUUUUUUUUUUUUGGUAGGAAAUAAGAGCAAAUGAAAUCUAAAGAAAGUGUUAUUCUCUAAUCCACUUGAAACCCAAAAUGUCAAGCAAGGUGGAGAAUGUUAGAUGUUAUGCUCGACAUUUUUGGAGCCCAAUGAUGCAGCCCAAAAAGGAGUGGCCCUUUUAACUGAAUGUGACCCGGUUUGCCCCCACUUGUGCAGUCUCGUGUUUCUCUUGUAAAUGCGACUUUAGUUUGUUUUAAUUGGAUGGAUCAGAUGAUGCCAGGUGGAGUCGGCUGAACCGUUGGAUGCAAAUGAUUUUUCAUUUACCUUGCCCUAGACUCUUCACUUGCCUGACUAUUCGAGAGACUUCUUGGGUCUUCGUUCUCUGUUCAUCUCUUCUCUGAAAACUCUUGGUUUUCGUCUGUAAUCUCUUGGUUUCUAGGUGUUCUUGAUAAGAUCUAGUAUAGAUUACAGUAUUCAUGUGAUGAUUCUACUUACUGAUUGAGUGUUUGGUGCUGAUCACUUUGGUGUAAUCUGUGUGAGUGAGAAUCUGAAACUUUUCAGAGUCUAAGGGCUAGAUCUUUUAAGAUCUAUCGUGUUGUAAUCCUUAAACACUUGAUAUUUUGUUGGUUCUAGUGGAUUGGAGCGAUAACCACUUAAAGUGGAUGCUCAACGUGGUGAUUAGCCUUUUGUGGGUGAACAUCCGGGUCUAAGGGCGAAAAAUCUUUGGUGUUC